GGCGGCGGCCGGCAGGAGCGGGGCUCGGGGUGGAGGGGGCGGGGGGGGGAGGGGGGGGUGGAAGGACGGACACGGGGACCGGGACACACGCAGUCACCGCCACCACGGUCACGGAAAGCGGCCGGACACGCAGGGACGCAGCGGGCGGAGGGCGGCGGGCCGAGCCCCGCAGAGGUUCCUCCUGCCUAAGCUCUCCCCGUCCUCACAAAGAAGCAGAACGCCGGUGGCAGUGUCGUGGGCAGCGUUGUGAGCACCGAUACUCCUUUCGGGGCUGUUGACAACCGAGACCGAGUUCCCUCCUGAGGAUUAUGACACCGAGCUGAGUCCAUUAAUUCGUUGCAGUGGGGGAACUGUAGCUUACUGAGCAGCCAGAGGGGAGGAGCUGUGUUGAGUCACAAGGAUGUAGCUCUGUUUCUUCAGGCUUGGCUGAAGGAGAAAAAAUUUAGUUACAAAGCAAUGGCAAAAAGUGACCAUUAAUUAAAAGGUGACGGGGUGUAGCCCACAAACCACGACCUCUGGGGUCUUCAUUGCAUGAGAAACAUGAAUCGUAGGAACAGAAUAUCCGGAGCUGGAAGGAACCCAUGAGGAUCUUUGAGUCCAGCUCCUCUUAGACUAUCAAAAGCUUUGCUAAAAUCCCCCAAAACCCACAUCCUUUGCCUUCCUUUUGUCCACUAGACCGGUAGCCUUGUCGUAAAAGGAAAUUAAGUCAGUAAGGCAUGAAGAAUCUGCUAAGAACAUUUCUGGGGAAUCGAGAUUCUGUAGUGUGAAUUUUUUUGAAGUCAUUUACACUUACUCUAAGCUGUCAAACCAUCAAUUCUUGUGUUGUAAUUUUGGGGAGAACAGCUUGUGUUUCGUGUGUAGCCAUGAAUCCUGCUUUAGGCUCAAAACUUAGUUCAGGGCACGAAUCAAAGCGCUGGCUCUAUGCAAAAUCGCUUCUUACGCUCCUUUGAAUACUCACCCGGGGCUGGGAGUAAAUGAGUGCUAAUGAUCCCUCUGCCUUUUGUUUGUAGCCGUGCAAUGACAAAGGGUUGCUCGUCAUCUUUUGUAAUAGAAAUGUCUCUGCUCAGGAAAGAGAAGUUGUCCUGGCAAACACCUAUUCCUGGACUUCUCCUGCCAGAAGUGUCCCAGACCAUCUGUCAGCGUGUGCUAUAGAUCUUGGGUUUCUCACUUGGAGGCGCUUUUGAGCCGAUUUCCAGAGGAUUCAAGCCCGCAGCUUCAGUCCUAAUUGUGGGUGCGCCUGAAAAUCAGCCUCCAAGCCUGUCCAAAUUAAGACACCCAGGGGCAGAUGCUCCUUCUAGAGAACUUGCCUGAGUGGGGCCUUUCCCAGAAGAGCAGCAGAAGAGCUCAUGAUGCUGAGGAGCUCCUGACUGCCUUGCCCAGACCCUGGGUGAGCUCACCCUCCUCGUUCCCUGCUCUUAUGAGCUCCGUGGUUCCGUCACCUUCCCUCUGUACAAUCCCUGAGCAAGGAGUCGCCACCCCUCUCCUCGCUCAACUCUCAGGAAGGUGGUAGGCGAGUUUGAGAGCCAGGACUAAAUUCAGUUUUGGAGACUGCCUGGAGCACACUUUGGGCUCUGCGUGAAAUGAGGCCCCAGCUGUCACCCAAGGAGUGGUCCUUGGAGAACGAGCCCGCGUGUGUGUGCCUGACAGCCCUGCGAGGAACGUGUCCGUGAUCAUGAGCAUGUGGUUCCACACGGACUGCUUAGCCGUUCAAAUCAUUUCUCCGUGCCCUAGUGAAUGCCUUGGAAACCUGACUUCAUACAAGCCUGGGAUAAAGCGAGAGGUCCGACUUUGAGGCCAAACUACAGCCCCCUAAAAAUGACUUGGCAUCAAGAUUUGAGUCAUUUCUUACACAGGAGGGACGAUGGGAGCUUGUGACACUCCAAAGUGGCAGCGUCUGCUUGGGGUCGUGCUGGCUGGUGGGUGCGCUUGGUGUCACAGCCUGGGCAGCUGCACCGACGUCGUCCAAGAGGAGGGUUCAUUGGCUGAUCGGUUAUUUCAUGCUGAUGACCUGCAGGGGCUCCUCAGGACGCUACCCUGAGACCAGCAGUUCCAGGAGCAGAGUAAUUUUUUUCCUGGCCUGCAGCUCCCUGCCUGCCCUGACAGACGCCUGCUUUCCUCCUCCCAUCUCUCUACAGCCAAGGUGGAGCUUAUCUUGGAAGGUGGGAUUGCGCUACAGGGACGGGGCUAAGUUCCGUCAGGGCAAGGAGGACACCCAUGGAGGUGAGUGAAUUGAAUUUGUGGCUCUGGCCACUGGGCUGGUUUUAUUUCCAGGAGUCAUUCGGGGGUGGUGGGGGUGGAAAAGAAACCAAACCAACCAUAUAAGAUGUCUGGGCCACUUUCCACCCCUCGGGUGCUCUUGUCCACAGUUGUGCGUGCCAGCUGGGGCCCACAUCUCCUGCUGCCUACAGCUGAGUGAUGCAGUGCUUUGGGAGAAACACUGCUUCCUUCCUGGGGCUUCUGCAGCCCCCAGAGCAGUUGGAGGAAGGCUAAGUGAGCAGUGAUGCAGCAAAGUGUCCCCUGGUUCCCUCCAUCCCGCAAUCCCGUCUCCAGACAAAACCGCGUCCCAAAGUGGUUACGCUGAGGUGGCGUCCCCAUCCGGGACACCCCACGCACCAUGAUGUGCUAUUAUGCAGCGCUAGCAUGGAGUUGCCUGCUGGCUGUGCCCUGCCUGUCCGGCAGCGGGUGGCAUUUCUGCCUGAGCCAGCCCAAAAGGCUCUGCUCCCGUGAGGAAAAAGGACAUGGAGGCUAUAACCUGCUGGGACUUGGAAUCAUAGAAUCGUCUGGGUUGGAAGGGACUUUUCAGAUCAUCGAGUCCAACCAUCAGUCCAACACUGCCAAGUUCACCACUACCCCACGUCCCUCAGCACCACGUCUGCCCGGCUUUUAAAUGCCUCCAGGGAUGGUGACUCCACCACUGCCCUGGGCAGCCUGUUCCAAGGCUUGAUGACCCUUUCGGUGAAGAAAAUUUCCCUAAUCUCCAUCCUAAACCUCCCCUGGCGCAACUUGAGGCCAUUUCCUCUUGUCCCGUCGCCUGUUCCCUGGGAGAAGAGACCGACCCCCCCUGGCUGCACCCUCCUUUCAGGGAGUUGUAGAGAGCGAGAAGGUCUCCCCUCAGCCUCCUUUUCUCCAGGCUGAACACCCUCAGCUCCCUCAGCCGCUCCUCACAGGACUUGUGCUCCAGACCCCUCACCAGCUCCGUUGCCCUUCUCUGGACACGCUCCAGCCCCUCAGUGUCUUUUUUGUGGUGAGGGGCCCAAAACUGGACACAGCCCUCGAGGUGGGGCCUCACCAGUGCCGAGCACAGGGGGACCAUCACUGCCCCAGUCCUGCUGGCCACACUAUUGCUGAUACAGGCCAGGGUGCUGUUGGCCGCCUUGGCCACCUGGGCACACUGCUGGCUCAUAUUCAGCCGGCUGUCGACCAACACCCCCAGGUCCUUUUCCAAUGGGCAGCUUUCCAGCUGCACUUCCCCAAGCCUGUAGCGCUGCAGAAACCCUGGGAAGAAACCCUGCUGUAGACUUGCUCGGAAACCCCGGGAAGCGCCGAUGGACGGACCCUGCUCGGCCUGGGUACCAUAAAUCCCCCAGCUCCACCAGCGCUGGCAGUGCCCAUGCGAUGAUUGCCAGCUCCGGCACGGGUGGCUGGCAGUGCCACGGGGCCGUGCUGUGGGGGUCCCUGCCUCUGCUGCUCCAACCCGCUCCCCUCCCAGGACCAGAAGGGCCAGUAAGAUGGUUGGAGCAGCUGUCGUACAGGAAGAGGCUGAGAGAGCUGGGACUGUUAUGCUUGGAAAAAUGAAGGCUGGGGGGGGGUGGGGUGUCUUAUCCCUGUCUAUUCAUUCCCCGGAGGGAGGGGUAAAGAAGAUGGAGGCAGAUGUUCCUUGGUGGUGCCCAAUGCAUCAAACUGAAAUUGAAGUGCAGGGAUUGGAGUUCAACUUCAGAAAAGCUUUUUCUGUGAGGAUGGUCAAGCGCUGGCACGGGCAGGCCAGAGGAGCUGCGACAGGACAAGGCUUAAUGGUUUUAAACUAAAAGAGGGAUGAGUUGGACUAGAUGUAAGGAAUGGUGGUGAGACGCUGGCUCAGGUUGCCCAGAGAGGUGGGAGAUGCCCCAUCCCUGGAUCAGGUUGGACGGGGCUCUGAGCCACCUGCUUUGGUUGAAGAUGUCCCUGCUCACGGCAGGGGGGGUUGGUCUAGAUGGCCUUUAAAGGUUCCUUCCCACCCAAAACUAUUCUACGAUCUCCAUCCUUGGAGAUACUCAAGACCCAUCCAGGUGUGGUCCUGAGCUCUGGCUGACCUCCAAAGGUCCUUUCCCACCUCAACUAUUCCGUGAGUCUUUGAUCCAUUGUAGCUCGGUGACAAGACACCGCACCAAGGUACAGAAGACAGUAGAAACCAGGGAUGCCCCGGGAACAGCGACAGCGUUCCACGCUGUCGCUGUUCCCGGGGCAUCCCUGGUUUCGGUGGCUCCCUGGGCUGGUCAUCCCCAUCAUGCCACCCUCCAGCUACGCUGACCCCCAACUUACCCUGCCCCCCCCGAGGGCAGCGGGGCCAAAGAAACACCCGCACAGCGAGACCGUCACUCAGUAAAAGUUUUUUGGUUUGUUUUUUAUUUUAUUUUAUUUUAUUUCUGGUUUAAAAUCAAAAUUAGUUGUUCUCUGUAAUUACAUUAUAUAUAGAUUUAUAGAGACAUUAUAGAAAAGAAUUUUUUGCUUUUGUUUUUCUGCAAAAAUCUGUAAAUAAAAAAUAAAAUAAAACAACGACGACGACAACAACAACAACAACAAAAAAAAAAAUGGUGGCAGCUUCUGUCCGUCCGUCUGUCCAUCCCUCUGUCACUCCU